CCAGCAGACCCUCCCUCCCAGACCCUCCUACUUCCUGGACAGCAUCCAUGUACAUAGGAAGUAGGAGGGUCUGGGAGGGAGGGUCUGCUGGAGAU
rnacentral:miRNA from 1 species